GAUAACUACAACCAGCAACAUGCUGAUUUGAAUAUAGCAAUAAAUUACGUCAUGAUAGGAAUCAUUAUUUAUUUACGGGUGCCUACAUGGUCUCACCCUCAUUAGAAGGUGUCUAUGCGUGAUCUUGGUGUGACCUAUGAGCAACAUCUGGAUUCUCCAUUCAUUUUUUAUAGUAUUAGUAAUUU